rnacentral:rRNA from 1 species
AUUGAACGCUGGCGGCAUGCCUAACACAUGCAAGUCGAACGGCAGCGCGGGGGCAACCCUGGCGGCGAGUGGCGGACGGGUGAGGAAUGCAUAGGAAUCUGCCCGGCUGUGGGGGAUAACGUAGGGAAACUUACGCUAAUACCGCAUACGACCUUCGGGUGAAAGUGGGGGACCUUCGGGCCUCACGCGAUCGGAUGAGCCUAUGCCCGAUUAGCUAGUUGGCGGGGUAAGGGCCCACCAAGGCGACGAUCGGUAGCUGGUCUGAGAGGAUGAUCAGCCACACUGGGACUGAGACACGGCCCAGACUCCUACGGGAGGCAGCAGUGGGGAAUAUUGGACAAUGGGCGCAAGCCUGAUCCAGCAAUGCCGCGUGUGUGAAGAAGGCCUUCGGGUUGUAAAGCACUUUUGUUCGGGAAGAAAUCCGUGUGGUUAAUACCCGUACGGGAUGACGGUACCGAAAGAAUAAGCACCGGCUAACUUCGUG